CUGUAAGCCUGUGAAGGUGUACUGUGAGGUAUGCUGGAGGUAUCAGAAGUGCGAAUGCUGACAUAAGUAACGAUAAAGCGGGUGAAAAGCCCGCUCGCCGGAAGACCAAGGGUUCCUGUCCAACGUUAAUCGGGGCAGGGUGAGUCGACCCCUAAGGCGAGGCCGAAAGGCGUAGUCGAUGGGAAACAGGUUAAUAUUCCUGUACUUGGUGUUACUGCGAAGGGGGGACGGAGAAGGCUAUGUUGGCCGGGCGACGGUUGUCCCGGUUUAAGCGUGUAGGCUGGUUUUCCAGGCAAAUCCGGAAAAUCAAGGCUGAGGCGUGAUGACGAGGCACUACGGUGCUGAAGCAACAAAUGCCCUGCUUCCAGGAAAAGCCUCUAAGCAUCAGGUAACAUCAAAUCGUACCCCAAACCGACACAGGUGGUCAGGUAGAGAAUACCAAGGCGCUUGAGAGAACUCGGGUGAAGGAACUAGGCAAAAUGGUGCCGUAACUUCGGGAGAAGGCACGCUGAUAUGUAGGUGAAGUCCCUCGCGGAUGGAGCUGAAAUCAGUCGAAGAUACCAGCUGGCUGCAACUGUUUAUUAAAAACACAGCACUGUGCAAACACGAAAGUGGACGUAUACGGUGUGACGCCUGCCCGGUGCCGGAAGGU
rnacentral:rRNA from 1 species